GAUGAAGAACGUAGCGAAAUGCGAUACGUAAUGUGAAUUGCAGAUUUCAGUGAAUCAUCGAAUCUUUGAACGCACAUUGCGCCCGCCAGUAUUCUGGCGGGCAUGCCUGUUCGAGCGUCAUUUCAACCAUCAAGCACAGCUUGGUGUUGGGACUCGCGUUAAUUCGCGUUCCCCAAAUUGAUUGGCGGUCACGUCGAGCUUCCAUAGCGUAGUAGUAAAACCCUCGUUACUGGUAAUCGUCGCGGCCACGCCGUUAAACCCCAACUUCUGAAUGUUGACCUCGGAUCAGGUAGGAAUACCCGCUGAACUUAAGCAUAUCAAUAAGCGGAGGA
rnacentral:misc_RNA from 1 species